rnacentral:tRNA from 1 species
GCCCAAGUGGCGGAAUUGGUAGACGCGCAUGCUUCAGGUGCAUGUGGGGUUCUCCCCGUGAAGGUUCGAGUCCUUUCUUGGGCA